AUGGCCUUAGAUCUGAAAAGGAUAUUGACCAUGUGUGGAAAAGUCUCACUUAGCCCAGGAAGAGCGUUAGACAUCAGUAAAGACGCUUUUAUUAUCCUAAAAUGGACAACCGAAAUCUGUCAUCGCAAAGUCUAUGGAACAUUUCAAAGUCUGGUUUCAUUGAAAGCAGCAGGAAUUCAGGCAAGGGGACAGUUUCCAUGGAAAUACAAAGUAGCUGUAAACAUAGAGGGGGAAGUGAAGCAGGAAGUGGCUGACCCUGAUGACGCAGUUGAUGUCUUUCGAGAGGACGGGCAUGCAAAUUUGACACGUUUCUACCAUGUGCUUUUCAAUGCUGCAUGUAAAUUUUGCAGGUGUACAAAACAAAGCAGUAUUUGAUUGGAUUUUAGAAAUGCUGAUUUUAUGUUGGUGGUGGCACGUAAGUUACCAUUAUCACCGAACAUAACUUUAAUCAUGCUGCUCCAAAAUUGUUAUUUCCCCUUUAUCAAAAGCACAUGCAUUUCAACGUGUUUAAAAUGAGCCACUCCACCCUCAGCUUCAGUUUCCUCUGUCAAACCACAGUAGGACACACAUUUUUGCAUCAGCCGUUACUAUUGCAGUCGCUGCUAGGGUAACACGAGUCACAAAGAUCGGCAAAGAUUACUGGCUGUCCAAGAUGUCAUGCCACCACUCCCCAAACCCCACACCCACAUUACCACUGCGAACUAAAAGUGGUUCUUCCCUGUUCCCUCUGGUACUCUCAAGGGAAACCGAAAUCAGCAAAUCAAGUCGAGAUGAGUCAGAGCUCUGCAGCCAAGGUCUUUGUUUCCCAAUGAGAAAAACAUACAUGGCGAAGAACUCAGCGCUGUCUGUUUUUGUAGACAGGGAACCCCUCAUUAUAUGUGGAAAGGGCCACGUCAUGUCUUUUGCUCUGGGCUGACGCUUGGCCCUCAUCCCACAAGAUUGUUCAAGGACCACAAAACAAACAGAAAACACUUAACCUCUGUAAAAAAUUUCCAUGAGAUCCAGCUGAAUGUAAGAAUAGCACAAGCUUGAUUAGGCAAGUAAAUUUAUACUUAACGUUUUUUCCCCCCAACAAAAGCAUGUCUAAAAAGAGGGGAAAAACUUUCUUCAAACUGAAACUGCAAAUUGUGAGCUACCUCCUGCAAACAAAUCUAACUGUUGGUUUGAAGAUGAUAUAUUAUUAGAAAUGUCAACUUUCUGUGAGAAUUUUUUUAUUUUUAUUUUGUCAAUUGGUUAAAAGCCAAACCAUGUUUUCUAAUGAGCUACAGGUAAAUGGAAAAGGCAAGCUUUCGGUCACACA
rnacentral:lncRNA from 1 species